rnacentral:rRNA from 1 species
CUCACCAGGUCAGGACACGGUAAGGAUUGACGGACUGAAGGCUCUUUCUCGAUUCCGUGGAAAGUGGUGCAUGGCCGUUUUGGUUGGUGGAUCGAUCCGUCUGGUUAAUUCCGUUAACGAACGAGACCUCGGCACUCCGAAUAGCGCGGCGGACGUCGCGGCCUCCGGGCCGUCUUCCGCACGAGCUUCUUAGAGGGACCGUCCCCCGCCGGGGAAGGAGGUGCGAGGCAACGACAGGUCUGUGAUGCCCUUAGAUGUUCUGGGCCGCACGCGCAUUACACUGACGCGUCCAACGGGUGACUCCCGACCCGAAGGGGCCGGGGAAUCCGCAAGGCGCGUCGUGAUGGGGAUUGAACGUUGCAAUUGUUGUUCACGAACGAGGAAUUCCUAGUAGGCGCGGGUCAUCAACCCGCGCCGAUUACGUCCCUGCCC